GGCGCCGUAGCCAAGUGGUUAGGCAGCGGAUUGCAAAUCCGUCUACUCCGGUUCGAAUCCGGACGGCGCCU
rnacentral:tRNA from 1 species